rnacentral:rRNA from 1 species
UACGAAGGGGGCUAGCGUUGUUCGGAUUUACUGGGCGUAAAGCGCACGUAGGCGGAUCGUUAAGUCGGGGGUGAAAUCCUGGAGCUCAACUCCAGAACUGCCUUCGAUACUGGCGAUCUCGAGUCCGGAAGAGGUGAGUGGAACUCCUAGUGUAGAGGUGGAAUCCGUAGAUAUUCGGAAGAACACCAGUGGCGAAGCGGCUUCCUGGUCUGUAACUGACACUGAGGCGCGAAAGCGUGGGGAGCAAACAGGG